AGAGUUGCAUAUCGUGGGGUGAGUGGUAGCUGUGUUACGGCUGUGCUGGGACUGUGUAGGGGUGUAGUAGGGAUGUGUUAGGGGCUGUAUUAGUAGAGGUGUGUGUUAGUUUGUUAGGGAUGCAGUAGUAGAGGUUUAAGGGUGUGAGGGAGACUUGGGGUGAAGGGCAGUUGUGUGAAGGGUGUGUUAGGGGUGUGUUAAGGUGCAGUAGGGAUGUGUUAGGGGGUGUACUUAGUAGAGGUGUGUGUUAGUUUGUUAAGGGUUUAGUAUAGUGAAGGAGACUUGGGGUGAAGGAUAGUUGUAUGAAAGGUGUGUUAAGGGUGUGUUAAGGGUCAUACUAAGGAUAUGUUCAGAGGUGUAGAAGUAGGGG